rnacentral:rRNA from 1 species
UUUUUGGAAGGGGCAGUCUGGUGCCAGCAGCCGCGGUAAUUCCAGCUCCAAUAGCGUAUAUUAAAGUUGUUGCAGUUAAAAAGCUCGUAGUUGAACCUUGGGCCUGGCUGGCCGGUCCGCCUCACCGCGUGUACUGGUCCGGCCGGGCCUUUCCUUCUGGGGAACCUCAUGCCCUUCACUGGGCGUGCUGGGGAACCAGGACUUUUACUUUGAAAAAAUUAGAGUGUUCAAAGCAGGCCUUUGCUCGAAUACAUUAGCAUGGAAUAAUAGAAUAGGACGUGUGGUUCUAUUUUGUUGGUUUCUAGGACCGCCGUAAUGAUUAAUAGGGAUAGUCGGGGGCAUCAGUAUUCAAGCGUCAGAAGUGAAAUUCUUGGAUUGCUUGAAGACUAACUACUGCGAAAGCAUUUGCCAAGGAUGUUUUCAUUAAUCAGUGAACGAAAGUUAGGGGAUCGAAGACGAUCAGAUACCGUCGUAGUCUUAACCAUAAACUAUGCCGACUAGGGAU